AUGUCUUUAAAUGUCGGAUCAUGUUCUGUCUUUCAGAUGCCAAUAAUUCAGCAGACAGAUCCUCUAGGAAGCCCCUCUGCUUUUUCUGGCCCCAUCAUGCUUUCUCCCACCUCAUUACCUCCAGGAGGAGCUCCUUUCAUGCCUGCAAAGUACGACCCUGCAAGUUUGUCAGCCGCUGACAAAGAAUCUGCUAUGGAUGCUGGGAUCUGUAACCAGAUGGGAUCUCCAGGCACCUCAGUGAUGACCCUAAGCCCUCCAGCAAUGCAGGGACCCCCAGGACCACCAAUCCCCCCAAUGCAGCCUCCUCCUGGCAUGCCGAAUCCUCACGUCCCGCCUUAUCUGGCGUCUCCAAACAUGCAGCACAUGCCCCCUCAGAUGAUGCCAGACGGACCAGUCUUUCCACCAAACAGAUUCCGAAUGCGCAUGCCUUUCCCUCCUCGCGGCCCCCCUUUCCAAAGUUGCCUACCUGUGGGACCUGAGGGCAUAGGGGACAGGGAGGGGCCAUUUUUCAGAGGUGUUAGACCGGGCUUCCACAUUCCACCUUUUCAGAGGGGGAGAUGGUGAUGAACUCUGAUGUUUUUGCUUCCCCUUCCUGUAUUCACAUUUGUACAUAUUUGUAUAUUUAAGUUGAAUCAGUUUGGUGCAGAUGUCCACAAAGGCCGAGUAUAUAUGUGUGUGUUCUUAAUUUGUCUUUUGAUUUGAAUAUUGAAGAAAAAAAUCAAUUGUAAAUUGAUUUUCAUUUGGCCUCAUUUUUUUUACCAGAAACAUUGGAUUUGAUUUGAAGAUCUCAUGUUCUGCCAGUAGAGGGUAGAGUAGUUCUCAUGCCUGUUUUUUCUCUCCCAAUCCUCCUGUAAACAAAGGUCACACCUUGAAAGGCAAUGUGAUGUAAUUAUUAAAAAAGAAAGCUGUCUACUGUUUGUCAAAGAGCUUUUGUUUGAGUCAGACUUGACAAGAAAUUGCAUACAUGCUUUUGAAUGCUUGCUUUAUUUCCAAACCUUAAUUUGUCUAAAAUAGUUUUUUUUCUGGAUUAGUUUUAUAUCUAAAUUAUAUAUCUAAAUUCUGCUGAGCAGGUAAUCUGCAUGCUCAGUCAUUCUAAAUAAAUGCAUGCUGCUGCGUGACGAUACAACGGCGCCGCAUCUGAUUGGAUCCCAAAAUCAAUAAGUGGCAUUUUCUGGACCCACUCGCGCUCCGUCUCCAAGCUGCGUGGGUCCCGCCCCUGUCGGCGGUGUGAAGAAGACACGCGUGGUCUGCAGUCGCGCAGACUUGCAGCAGAAGAGGCAGCACUGAGACCCGCAGCCCUGAUGUCCGUGAGCUGAAGCAUGGAUGCAUCUCCACGGCGGGCAUUCCCCCGUCGGCACAGGUGCGUAAAGGGAGCGCGCUGUUUAAUUAUCAUGAUAAAGGGUAGGAGGGAGAAAUAAAGCUCGAUGUGCG
rnacentral:lncRNA from 1 species